CAUGGCCGGCCGAGGAAGGUGGGCAGCUUGGUGCGGAAGUCGUAGUAGGCGGGGUCGGCGCUGAUGGUGCAGUUGUGGAGGAUGAUGGCGGAGGCCUGCUGCCGCAUCUUGCGUCCCUGCGCCGUCACGAUGUUCUGCUGGUUGUCGAGCGGCUUCCUUGCCAGAAUCAGGCAGUUCUGGAAGAUGGAGGCGGAGUCCCCGAAGAUGAAGUCGAUGGUGCCGGAGAUGGUGCAGUCGCGGUAGAACUGGCGGUGGGUGUGAACGUAGAGCGUGUCCUGAUACCCGUCGAUCCGGCAGUUGUAGAAGACGGACAUGUCGGACUGUACCCGGAGGGCUACCGCCUGAUGCUUUUCGGCGCCAGCAGAAUUCUCGAUCCAGAGGUCCUUGGCGACGAAUCCAUCUCCGACGACGGCUGCGUUCAUAGGCCAUCAAUUUUGAAUUAGAGACAUCAGUAAAUGGGCCAAAUGGCACGUGGCGUUUGUAAUUAGCCCAGAACAUGGACAUGGAAAUGGUGGUGCGCUCACCAACAGUGGCGGUGUCGAAGGUCCGGGUGCCAUCUACGUAGUUGAGGCUGCCGGUGAUCUUAGUCUUUGUUGGCCCAUCGCCGAUCAACAUCACGUUGGUGGCGCUCUUGUUGACGUGU
rnacentral:lncRNA from 1 species